UACGUAGGGAGCAAGCGUUGUCCGGAAUCAUUGGGCGUAAAGCGCGCGUAGGCGGCCUCGUAAGUCCGUUGUGAAAGUCAAAGGCUCAACCUUUGAAAGCCGAUGGAUACUGUGAGGCUAGAGUCCGGAAGAGGCGAGUGGAAUUCCUGGUGUAGCGGUGAAAUGCGCAGAUAUCAGGAGGAACACCGAUGGCGAAGGCAGCUCGCUGGGACGGUACUGACGCUGAGGCGCGAAAGCGUGGGGAGCAAACAGG
rnacentral:rRNA from 1 species